UACGUAGGGUGCGAGCGUUGUCCGGAAUCAUUGGGCGUAAAGAGCGUGUAGGUGGCCCGGUAAGUCCGCCGUGAAAACCUGCAGCUUAACUGUGGGCUUGCGGUCGAUACGGGCAUCACUGGAGUUCGGCAGGGGAGACUGGAAUUCCUGGUGUAGCGGUGAAAUGCGCAGAUAUCGGGAGGAACACCAAUUGCGAAGGCAGCUCGCUGGGACGUUACUGACGCUGAGACGCGAAAGCGUGGGGAGCAAACAGG
rnacentral:rRNA from 1 species